AAUUUAAAACUGAAAUGAAAUAGGUCAUAUGGUAGUCUACAUGGCAGCCUGUGUGGCAUAAAAAUAAUAUAUUAUUUUUGCUGUUAGCUAUAUCAGUAUUUUUUAUCCAUCAAUUAAUGGUCGUAACUAUUUUGACACAAUACUAAAAUGUUAAGGACCUAAUUGACACAUUUGAGAGGGUAGGAACUAAAUUAAAAUUCAGAGUAAAGAUUAAGAACCAAAUAUGUAAUUUACUCAUGCAUAAUUAUAAAUAGCGCGCGCACACACACACACACAUAUAUAUAUUAACUAAAUAAAAAGAGGCAAUGCCUCUAUAGUGUUUUUACACUGUACAACUAGUGUUUUUGUACUGUACAUCUACAGUGCAAUUUUGGCUUCGUGAGUCCUUUUUUGUCCAUUUGUGGAGGGCUAAAAACUCAAACAACGCUACCUAACUGAAUGCCUUAUCUUCUUCUCCUUCUCUCUACACAUAUUUUGUUUUCUUCUUUCUUUUCCUCCCAAACCACCGAUCUAUAUUGUGAUUCAACUCCUUCACAACCCAGUCUCAGCACCGAUCUCUCUCUACUAAUCCAGAUAAACAAAAAAAAAUUGAAACCCAAGAACAUUUGUAGCCAAUCUGCAUGAGAGAAGAGCCAGAAAACAAAAAUGGAGCUCAACGCCUCAAACGCUGUUUGUGAUCUAGUUGGUGGAUGUGCGAGAGAUAGACAAUUGCAGGUGUUCUUCUUUGCAAUUAUCUCAGUUCAUGAGAUUGAAAGUUUGGAUUUUUACUCAAAUUGAGAGAGGAGCUGUCGAAGUGUCAAACCGCAACCAUGUCAAACCAUCACCCACCUUCAGCCCAACCUUCUACCACUGUCGUAUACCGUCAGAACCACUACCAAUACAGUUGAAUAGUGAGGAAAAGCAGGGCACGAUCGAAGACAUCUACAAACCCACUUAGAGAAGAAGCAGAAAAAGUGGAGAAAUAAUGGAAAUGGUUUUUUCAAUGUUGGCCUCCAUCAAAUGUCUGGGGCUCUUUGCAAGCGAGUGUUCUUAGAGUGGAGGAUUUUGUGUAGAUAAAGCAAAUUUGGGUUGGGUGCACUGGCAAAUCUAUGUACUUUAAAAAAAAAAAAAAAUUUUGCUUUGUUUCUUUGGGUUAUAUAUAUGUUUUGUCCUUGAUAAUUGUUAAAAAUUUUGUUUCUUUUAAUUUAAAGUUGAUAACAAUUAAAAAUUUGGUUGCUUUUGUUUUAAAGGUGUUUAAAUUUGUUGAAGAAGUUAAUGACGUUCAUUGCAGUGGAAUACUUGAUUUAUGUUCAUUUCGGAUUUUCAUUUGUAUGAAGCAAAUUAUGUAGGUUAUGGUUU